rnacentral:rRNA from 1 species
ACUCCUACGGGAGGCAGCAGUGGGGAAUUUUGGACAAUGGACGAAAGCCUGAAAUCCAGCAAUGCCGCGUGAGUGAAGAAGGCCUUCGGGUUGUAGCUCUUUUGUCAGGGAAGAAACGGUGAAGGCUAAUAUCCUUUGCUAAUGACGGUACCUGAAGAAUAAGCACCGGCUAACUACGUGCCAGCAGCCGCGGUAAUA